rnacentral:piRNA from 1 species
UGGUGUUUGUGGUUCAAGUGUCUUGCCGCC